rnacentral:rRNA from 1 species
GUCUACAGCCAUGUCACCCUGAACAAGCCCGAUCCUUUCUGAUCUUGGACCCUCAGUAGGCUUGGGCCUGGUUAGUACUCAGAUGGGAGACCACCUAGGAAGACCAGGUACUGUAGGCA